AUUGAACGCUGGCGGCAUGCUUUACACAUGCAAGUCGAACGGCAGCGCGGGCUUCGGCCUGGCGGCGAGUGGCGAACGGGUGAGCAAUGCAUCGGAACGUGCCCAGUAGUGGGGGAUAGCCCGGCGAAAGCCGGAUUAAUACCGCAUACUACCUGCGGGUGAAAGCGGGGGACCGAAAGGCCUCGCGCUAUUGGAGCGGCCGAUGUCGGAUUAGCUAGUUGGUGGGGUAAAGGCUUACCUAGGCGACGAUCCGUAGCUGGUCUGAGAGGACGACCAGCCACACUGGGACUGAGACACGGCCCAGACUCCUAAGGGAGGCAGCAGAGGGGAAUGUUGGACAAUGGGGGCAACCCUGAUCCAGCCAGGCCGCGUGCGGGAAGAAGGCCUUCGGGUUGUAAACAGCGUUUGUUGGGGAAGAAAUCCUCUGGGCUAAGACGCAGGGGGGAUGACGGUACCGGAAGAAUAAGCACCGGCUAACUACGUG
rnacentral:rRNA from 1 species